CCUACGGGAGGCAGCAGUGGGGAAUAUUGGGCAAUGGAGGCGACUCUGACCCAGCCACGCCGCGUGAAUGAUGACGGUCCUCGGAUUGUAAAACUCUUUUUUAAGGGGAGCAGAGAGUGACGGUACCUUAGGAAUUAGCCUCGGCUAACUACGUGACAGCAGCCGCGGCAAUACGUAGGAGGGAAGCGUUCUCCGGAAUGCCUGGGCGUACAGGGUUCGUAGGUGGUUUGACAAGUUAGUAGCGCAACUACGGGGCUCAACUUCGGAACUACUACUAAAACUGGUGGACUUGAGUGCAGGAGAGGGAAUCGGAAUGCGUAGUGUAGCGGUGGAAUGCGUAGAUAUUAGGAGGAACA
rnacentral:rRNA from 1 species